CAUUAUCACGCGAUAAGCCACUUCGUUGAGCUAUCAUUUGUGGCCAGGUCUCUUCUGAAAAAGAACUACAUAGCUCAGUGGGCCUUACCUGGUCAAAUAAAAAUAGUUAAUCGUUUUUCUUAACAUUCAACAUGAUGUCUCUUAACAUAAUGAAAAAAGGUAUUUAUUUAUUUUAAUAGUGUACAUGUUGUUUGUCUCAUAACUGCGAUUCUUAAAUACAUUACUGUUAGGUUGAAUAAUAAUAAUAAUAAUGUUAAAAAUACUUCUCCAGCUGCCCGGGUGAAAAGUUGGCGAAGUUUUGACCAAUUCUGGACAGCUGAAUAAACUCAACGAACUUAACUCCCUUGGUUACGUUUCUGAAUGUGUCGCUGUGUGAAUUCUUUCCGUCAUUUAUUUAAAACCAAGGGAGAGUCCCGGUGAGAUGAAACGUCGUUGUUAUUGUUAAACGGCGACUUGUUAUCGCAAAAGUAACUGCUUCGCGCGACGUAAGGACAAACAACGAACGUGCCGAUUUGAUUCUUAAAUCGAACGAAUCGCUCCUCUGGUCCGCGGCGCAAUGCGUAAACAACAUCCUCAUCACUUGGGGCGGUUAAAGGCGGCUCUGUGCGUGGCGCUGCCCGCAGCACCUCCUCGUGUGCCGUGCCCGGCCUCCACGCAUCCAACCAAACCGCAGCGUGAGUUGCUUUGGAACCCCGCUCACCAAGCACGGUUGGCUACGUACGGUGCGAAGGAAGUUCAACACAAAUUACGUCGGACGCUGAAAUAAAGUUGUGGGAUGCAUCCGGCCCACGCGGUGCCCACCCCCCACCUCAUCGCCGUGCCGGGCCGACCAGCGGCCCCCCGUGACCGGAGCGGAGGGCGUGCGGGUCUGUGGGGGGGGGGGGGGGAGACACCCUGAGCGGUGACUGCAGCCGUAGCAGCAACGGCAGCAGUGGGUGAGAAGUCUGGCAGGGGCAUUUUGGAUUUCAUGAAGUUUGGAGAGGAGGGAUUUGUGAUCGUGCACGAAGAAGCUGCGAUCGUCAAUUGCCGCACACAAAUAUAUAGACUAAUAUCCCCGUAUAGCCUCGUAGACUGUUGGGGGGCGAGGGGGGCAAGUACUGUGAGCGAACACAUAUGAAGGUCGUUUACCAUAGAAGUCCAGUUCACCAUGGAAGUCAAGUUCACCAUGGAAGUCCAGUUCACCAUGGAAGUCAAGUUCACCAUGGAAGUUCAGUUCACCAUGGAAGUUCAGUUCACCAUGGAAGUCCAGUUCACCAUGGAAGUCAAGUUCACCAUGGAAGUUCAGUUCACCAUGGAAGUUCAGUUCACCAUGGAAGUUCAGUUCACCAUGGAAGUUCAGUUCACCAUGGAAGUCCAGUUCACCAUGG